rnacentral:rRNA from 1 species
GACGAACGCUGGCGGCGUGCCUAAUACAUGCAAGUUGAGCGAUGAAGAUUGGUGCUUGCACCAAUUUGAAGAGCAGCGAACGGGUGAGUAACGCGUGGGGAACCUGCCUUUGAGCGGGGGACAACAUUUGGAAACGAAUGCUAAUACCGCAUAACAACUUUAAACAUAAGUUUUAAGUUUGAAAGAUGCAAUUGCAUCACUCAAAGAUGAUCCCGCGUUGUAUUAGCUAGGUGGUGAGGUAAAGGCUCACCAAGGCGAUGAUACAUAGCCGACCUGAGAGGGUGGUCGGCCCAAUUGGGACUGAGACACGGCCCAAACUCCUACGGGAGGCAGCAGGAGGGAAUCUUCGGCAAUGGAAGAAAGGCUGACCGAGCCACGCCGCGGGAGUGAAGAAGGUUUUCGGAUCGUAAAACUCUGUUGGUAGAGAAGAACGUUGGUGAGAGUGGAAAGCUCAUCAAGUGACGGUAACUACACAGAAAGGGACGGCUAACUACGUG